CGCCUAGCGCAUGCAAGGUGCUGGGUUCAAUCCUCAGCACCACAUAAAAAUAAAUAAAGAUAUUGUGUCCAUAUUUAAAAAAUCUUUAAAAACUUUUUUUUAAAAAUAUAUUAAAAAAAGGCUGGAGGUGUAGCUCAGUGGUUAAGCACCCCUGGGUUCAAUCCCUGGUACCAAAAUAAUACUACUACUAAUAAUAGAAUGAUCUGGGAAUAUAGUUCAGUGGUGGAGCAUUUGCUUAGCAUGUGUGAGGCCCUGAGUUCAAUCCCCAGGACCAGGAGGAUUGAAAAAAAAAAAAUAAAGAAUCAGAUAGUGAUAUUGCUAUGUGGUGAUUUAAUACAGAGUUACGCACUUUGGGUAGUCAGGUUAAAGCAGACUGAGGAGACGACAUGUAAACCAAAAGAUGAUUCACCAGCUGAGGUCAGGAGAAAGAUGUAGAAGGAACAGUACAAAGGUUCUAGGAAUUAAUUCACAUAACAGCAUGGCUGAGUGAAAGGGGAAAUGGCGUAAGGCAAGGUCAGAAAGUUAGGCAGGACUCUGAUCACACCAAGAUGUGUGAAUUUUAUACUGAGUUAUAGAUGGAAAAAACCAUUGAAGAUUUUGAAGCCCAGGAGAAGCACACUUUGAUUUAUAAAAGAUACCUCUAGCCACUGUGUGAAAAGAGUGGAAAUAAGAAAAGCAGUUAGGAUAAUAGUAGUUAUUAUAGGACACUAUUGUGUCCUAAGCAGACAAGGAAUGGUGAUGGUUUGAACUGUGGAGUGCUGCUAGAAAUAGAGAAAAAGGACGACCUUCAGGAUAGAUUUUGGAGGUGGAAUUGUCAGACUUAUCUGUAGGUUAGACAGAAAGGGUGAAUGAAAGGUAGGAAUCACGGGAAAAGAAACUCUUAGGAUUUCUCCCGGAGCAACCAGGUGCAUGGUGAUGUAUUUUACAGAGGAAGAGAAUAUGAAAGAAAUGGAUAGGGCAAGAAUAAAAAGUUUUGUUUUGACCAUGUUGUUUGAACCACUUCUUUGAUAUCCAGAUGAUAUCGGGAAGACCGGGAUUAGAGUUAGAAGUCCUGGAAAAAAGUCAGGAUGAGGGAUAGAAUUCAAUUGUCAUCCGCUAUAGAUGGUUUUUAAAACCAAGAGACCAGAUGAGACCUAGAAAGAGGGCAGAGAAAGACAAUAAGGAGCCCAGGAUUGAGCCUUUAUAUAGGAAUCUUUAUUUAGAAAUCAAACAGAGGAAGAGGAGGCAGCUAAUGUUAUCAAAAGGGCCCUUGAGAUAUAUUAGAAACUUAGGGAUGGUGGUGCCAUAGAUGCCAAGAGAAGAAUGUUUCUCCAAAGACAAGAAUGGUCAACUGUAGGGCUGGGGUUGUAGCUUAGUGGUAGAGCUCUUGCCUAGCAUGUGUUGAGGCACUGGGUUUGAUUCUCAGCAUUGCAUAUAAAUAAAUAAAUUUUAAAAAUAAAGGUCCAUUGACAUUUAAAAAAAAAGAAAGAAAAGAAAGAAUGGUCAGCUGUGUCAAAUGCUGGUGCAAGAAGUGAGAUAAAAACACACUGUAUUUGGCAAAAAUCCUAGUGGACCCAGGGGGCUGAAAGCCCAGUUGGACUGGAUUGAAAGAGAAUGGGGGUGAUAUGAG
rnacentral:lncRNA from 1 species